CCACUAGGAGACGUUUGCUGCAAAGAAAAGACGGAGCGAGUGGAGAUAUUCUGAGAAGCUCCAGAAGCUGCAGGCUGAGCUGUUCAGCUCUGCUGCAGACAUUAUUUGAACUUCACCAUGACGACGACAAUAAUAAUAGUUCUGACUAUCUUGUCUUCCUCCGUCUGCAUUGAAAUCAUUCAGCCGCCUUUCGCCAUYAGCCACGAAAACGAGCCGUCCGUCACCCUGACGUGCGAGCAGGACGACGACCAGCACUACUACAUGUACUGGUACAGACGGAGGAGCUCAGGCGGGCCGCAGCUGGUGGCGCUCUCUCUCGGUAAAGACACGUGGGACGUGGAACCUCCUUUCAACAAGUCCAGGUUCGCCAUGCGGCGACCCGCCAUCCUGAACUCCACUCUGCACAUCCAGCAGCCCGGGGCGGCGGACUCAGCCRUGUAUUACUGCGCGUCGAGAAGAGCACAGCGACUCAGAAAGCCUCCGCUGCUCAACAACAACCCGGAGAGAUCACAGGAGGAGGGGGGGAAGAAAGAUUGGUGGAAGGAAAAACUCCGGCGGAUGCUCAGGAUGUAGUAAAAACAAGAAACAAACUUUUAAUGUGAAAACUAAUGAAGACGUUGUGUUUUUUAGUUGUAGAGGUAAAAGAAUAUACAUUUAUGUUGGUAUUUUCUUUGCAUUCAGCUCUAAAACACCACAAAGCUGAUCUUUUCUGAUURGGCUGCAGGUGUUUGCAGGGUUAGCCACGCAGAAAUACUGACUUGUAUACUGUCCUCAGUUUCCCUUUAAAUGUUUCCCCUUUAAAUGCCGUUUCAUUUUUGGAUUUCCUGCCGAUUAUAUCAUGUUUAAGAUGUGAUCACACACUGACCUCUAGAGGGUUCACUGGAGAUUACAUU